CCUACGGGUGGCAGCAGUCGAGAAUCAUUCACAAUGGGGGAAACCCUGAUGGUGCGACGCCGCGUGGGGGAAUGCAGGUCUUCGGAUUGUAAACCCCUGUCAUGUGGGAGCAAAUUAAAAAGAUCGUACCACAAGAGGAAUAGACGGCUAACUCUGUGCCAGCAGCCGCGGUAAUACAGAGGUCUCAAGCGUUGUUCGGACUCACUGGGCGUAAGGCGUGCGUAGGCUGUUUCGUAAGUCGUGUGUGAAAGGCGCGGGCUCAACCCGCGGACGGCACAUGAUACUGGGAGACUAGAGUAAUGGAGGGGGAACCGGAAUGCUCGGUGUAGCAGUGAAAUGCGUAGAUAUCGAGAGGAACACUCGUGGCGAAGGCGGGUUCCUGGACAUUAACUGACGCUGAGGCACGAAGGCCAGGGGAGCGAAAGGGAUUAGAUACCCCUGUAGUC
rnacentral:rRNA from 1 species